rnacentral:rRNA from 1 species
AUGAACGCUGGCGGCGUGCCUCAUACAUGCAAGUCGAGCGAACAGAUAAGGAGCUUGCUCCUUUGACGUUAGCGGCGGACGGGUGAGUAACACGUGGGUAACCUACCUAUAAGACUGGAAUAACUCCGGGAAACCGGGGCUAAUGCCGGAUAACAUUUAGAACCGCAUGGUUCUAAAGUGAAAGAUGGUUUUGCUAUCACUUAUAGAUGGACCCGCGCCGUAUUAGCUAGUUGGUAAGGUAACGGCUUACCAAGGCAACGAUACGUAGCCGACCUGAGAGGGUGAUCGGCCACACUGGAACUGAGACACGGUCCAGACUCCUACGGGAGGCAGCAGUAGGGAAUCUUCCGCAAUGGGCGAAAGCCUGACGGAGCAACGCCGCGUGAGUGAUGAAGGUCUUCGGAUCGUAAAACUCUGUUAUUAGGGAAGAACAAAUGUGUAAGUAACUGUGCACGUCUUGACGGUACCUAAUCAGAAAGCCACGGCUAACUACGUG